rnacentral:rRNA from 2 species
CGCGAAAACUUGGCAAUGCGAGAAAUCGUGACCAGGGAACUCCAAGUGCGUAGGGUAAGACCUACGCUUUUCUUGACUCUUCAAAGGUCUUGGAAUAAGGGGUGGGUAAGGACGGUGCCAGCCGCCGCGGUAAUACCGGCGCCUCAAGUGGUAGUCGCUUUUAUUGGGCCUAAAACGUCCGUAGCCGGUCUGGUGCAUUCGUGGGUAAAUCAACCCGCUCAACGGGUUGAAUUCUGCGAGCACGGCCAGACUUGGGACCGGGAGAGGUGUGGGGUACUCUCAGGGUAGGGGUAAAAUCCUGUCAUCCUGAGAGGACCACCUGUUGCGAAGGCGCCACACUAGAACGGAUCCGACGGUCAGGGACGAAACCUAGGGGCACGAACCGGAUUAGAUACCCGGGUAGUCCUAGGUGUAAACGCUGUGGACUUGAUGUUGGGGCGCUCCGAGCGCUCUCAGUGUCGAAGCGAAGGUGAUAAGUCCACUGCCUGGGGA